UCUGAUAUAAUAAAAAAAAAGUUGAUGCACAUUAUCUAGCAAUUCGUAUCACUGGAUCUGAAUUCUUGACCCGGGCAAUAGAAAAUUCACACUAUGGGUAACCAACAUUAGUUACCAAUUACAAAAACUGUUAUGGAUGAAGUGUAACUAUUAGAACAAUAGGUUUUGCCUAAGGCUUCAGUAGAAUGCUCCAGAAGGCAGUGAAAUCUACAAUCAGUAUCAAUGUUUCUUUCUUCCAUAGUCAUUUACGUAUGUUUUUUUUUUUCUGUUUACGUUCCGUUUUUUUGCGUUC